rnacentral:rRNA from 1 species
GACGAACGCUGGCGGCGUGCCUAAUACAUGCAAGUCGAACGAGGUCCAAGGGAGCUUGCUCCCUGACGAUCGAGUGGCGAACGGGUGAGUAACACGUGAGAAACCUGUCCCGGACUCUGGGAUAACUCGGGGAAACCCGAGCUAAUACCGGAUACCUUCCAUUGACCGCAUGAUCAGUGGAAGAAAGUUUUUCGGUCUGGGAGGGUCUCGCGGCCUAUCAGCUUGUUGGUGAGGUAACGGCUCACCAAGGCAGUGACGGGUAGCUGGUCUGAGAGGACGAUCAGCCACACUGGGACUGAGACACGGCCCAGACUCCUACGGGAGGCAGCAGUAGGGAAUCUUGCGCAAUGGGCGAAAGCCUGACGCAGCAACGCCGCGUGCGGGAAGACGGCCCUCGGGUUGUAAACCGCUUUCAGCAGGGACGAAAAUGACGGUACCUGCAGAAGAAGGUCCGGCUAACUACGUGCCAGCCGCCGCCGUAAGAC